rnacentral:misc_RNA from 1 species
CUGUACAGGAGGCAGAGGGAGGCGCCGGACUUCCUGCUGGACAGCCGAGGGGUGGCGCGGCGCAUGGAGGAAGGGCGCUGGGAGGGUAGAGACAUGGCGCCGUGCACCAAGGACAGAGGAGCAGGGAGAAGCGACGACCGCUUGGAGGAGAUCGGAUGGCGUCUAGCUGACGCGCGUAGGGGGAAGUUGUUGGAGGACGUCGUGGGAGUUUCCUGCGCGCUGGGGAAGAAGGUCUCCCUGCUUGCUGACGCGGUGGAGAAUGGGAGGCGCCAUGGGAGAGUCCAAAACGCUCGGCUCUCAAUACUCCUUCCUCCGCGUCAUCUCCCUCUCCUCCUCCCCAACGCUGGUGCAGCAGCUGCCAAACACCCGGCAAGCUCGGUGGCUAGUUCCUCCAUCAGCUCGGCACUGCCCUCAGGUGCUCGCGGUAAACUCCUUCACGCCGUGGCGGCUCCCUGGGCGUCGUUCCCCAGCCACCUCGCCGGUGUUCUCGCCUUGGCUGUGCUCGUCGAGUCCUCUGCCGAUGUUUUCAAUCAGCCACGCCAACCUCCACUCCAGCUUAGACCGGCGGCGGACGCGUACUUUCAUGUCCUCGUGUUCGAAUCGACGUCGCUCAAUGUGCUGCAGCAAGCUCGUCGUCGGUCUAGGCGCUCGCCUCCUCGCCAUCGCUUUACGGAUUCGGCGUCGUGA